rnacentral:rRNA from 1 species
GAUGAACGCUGGCGGCGUGCCUAAUACAUGCCAGUCGAGCGAACAGAUAAGGAGCUUGCUCCUUUGACGUUAGCGGCGGACGGGUGAGUAACACGUGGGUAACCUACCUAUAAGACUGGAAUAACUCCGGGAAACCGGGGCUAAUGCCGGAUAACAUUUAGAACCGCAUGGUUCUAAAGUGAAAGAUGGUUUUACUAUCACUUAUAGAUGGACCCGCGCCGUAUUAGCUAGUUGGUAAGGUAACGGCUUACCAAGGCAACGAUACGUAGCCGACCUGAGAGGGUGAUCGGCCACACUGGAACUGAGACACGGUCCAGACUCCUACGGGAGGCAGCAGUAGGGAAUCUUCCGCAAUGGGCGAAAGCCUGACGGAGCAACGCCGCGUGAGUGAUGAAGGUCUUCGGAUCGUAAAACUCUGUUAUUAGGGAAGAACAAAUGUGUAAGUAACUGUGCACGUCUUGACGGUACCUAAUCAGAAAGCCACGGCUAACUACGUG